rnacentral:rRNA from 3 species
GAAAGGCCAAUCAAACUCGGAGAUAGCUGGUUCUCCCCGAAAGCUAUUUAGGUAGCGCCUCGGACGAAUACUACUGGGGGUAGAGCACUGUUAAGGCUAGGGGGUCAUCCCGACUUACCAACCCUUUGCAAACUCCGAAUACCAGUAAGUACUAUCCGGGAGACACACGGCGGGUGCUAACGUCCGUCGUGAAGAGGGAAACAACCCAGACCGCCAGCUAAGGUCCCAAAGUUAUAGCUAAGUGGGAAACGAUGUGGGAAGGCUCAGACAGCCAGGAUGUUGGCUUAGAAGCAGCCAUCAUUUAAAGAAAGCGUAAUAGCUCACUGGUCGAGUCGGCCUGCGCGGAAGAUUUAACGGGGCUAAGCUAUACACCGAAGCUGCGGCAAUGAAGUUUACUUCAUUGGGUAGGGGAGCGUUCUGUAAGCCGUUGAAGGUGAAUCGUAAGGUUUGCUGGAGGUAUCAGAAGUGCGAAUGCUGACAUGAGUAACGAUAAAGGGAGUGAAAAACUCCCUCGCCGGAAGAUCAAGGGUUCCUGUCCAACGUUAAUCGGGGCAGGGUAAGUCGACCCCUAAGGCGAGGCCGAAAGGCGUAGUCGAUGGGAAACGGGUUAAUAUUCCCGUACUUCUUAUAAUUGCGAUGGAGGGACGGAGAAGGCUAGGUGAGCCUGGCGACGGUUGUCCAGGUCCAAGUAUGUAGGCUGAUGGUUUAGGCAAAUCCGGACCAUCUUAAGGCUGAGAUACGAUGUCGAGU